UGAUGCUGUCUGUUCAGAGAUGGUGCUUGCUGUGGCUCAUAUUGACAUCAUUCAUUGCAACUAUAUAAGAUGCUCCUCUUUUCCUCUUUUGUGUACACACUUUCUAUCUCAUUUUCCUUUCCAAUCUCAGUCUUCUUUUGUUUCCCCUCUCUUCAUCAGCAAUCACUGAACUCUGAUAUCUGUAUCUCUCUUUCUCUUGAUAAACAGCUGGACUGAUUCAUCACUGUCAUCAUCAUCACACUGAAUGGAGUUAUUCAAUCUACUAUAGCUCAACUACUUUUACAACAAUUCAUUAUCUUUAUAACUUUCAUCAUAUUCUUAUACUCUUGUUCUUCUGUAAUUUACUGUUUUCAUUCUUCAGUUUCUUUUCACUGUUCUUUUAUUCUUUAUAUACUCUUAAUUCAUCACAUUCAUUGCUGUUCUCAGACUGCUGAUCUUUUUUUCUUCUCUUUUUUUAUCUUUUCUUUUCUUUUCUUUUCUUUUUUUUGUCUGAUAUCAGAGCAGAGAAUGUGCUGUAUUUUAAGUCAAUGAUAAAAAUGUCUUAUUUCUCAUGAAGCUGUAUAUAUAAGUCU
rnacentral:sRNA from 2 species